rnacentral:rRNA from 1 species
GAUGAACGCUGGCGGCGUGCCUAAUACAUGCAAGUCGAGCGAACGGACGAGAAGCUUGCUUCUCUGAUGUUAGCGGCGGACGGGUGAGUAACACGUGGAUAACUUACCUAUAAGACUGGGAUAACUUCGGGAAACCGGAGCUAAUACCGGAUAAUAUUUUGAACCGCAUGGUUCAAAAGUGAAAGACGGUCUUGCUGUCACUUAUAGAUGGAUCCGCGCUGCAUUAGCUAGUUGGUAAGGUAACGGCUUACCAAGGCAACGAUGCAUAGCCGACCUGAGAGGGUGAUCGGCCACACUGGAACUGAGACACGGUCCAGACUCCUACGGGAGGCAGCAGUAGGGAAUCUUCCGCAAUGGGCGAAAGCCUGACGGAGCAACGCCGCGUGAGUGAUGAAGGUCUUCGGAUCGUAAAACUCUGUUAUUAGGGAAGAACAUAUGUGUAAGUAACUGUGCACAUCUUGACGGUACCUAAUCAGAAAGCCACGGCUAACUACGUGCCAGCAGCCGCGGUAAUACGUAGGUGGCAAGCGUUAUCCGGAAUUAUUGGGCGUAAAGCGCGCGUAGGCGGUUUUUUAAGUCUGAUGUGAAAGCCCACGGCUCAACCGUGGAGGGUCAUUGGAAACUGGAAAACUUGAGUGCAGAAGAGGAAAGUGGAAUUCCAUGUGUAGCGGUGAAAUGCGCAGAGAUAUGGAGGAACACCAGUGGCGAAGGCGACUUUCUGGUCUGUAACUGACGCUGAUGUGCGAAAGCGUGGGGAUCAAACAGGAUUAGAUACCCUGGUAGUCCACGCCGUAAACGAUGAGUGCUAAGUGUUAGGGGGUUUCCGCCCCUUAGUGCUGCAGCUAACGCAUUAAGCACUCCGCCUGGGGAGUACGACCGCAAGGUUGAAACUCAAAGGAAUUGACGGGGACCCGCACAAGCGGUGGAGCAUGUGGUUUAAUUCGAAGCAACGCGAAGAACCUUACCAAAUCUUGACAUCCUUUGACAACUCUAGAGAUAGAGCCUUCCCCUUCGGGGGACAAAGUGACAGGUGGUGCAUGGUUGUCGUCAGCUCGUGUCGUGAGAUGUUGGGUUAAGUCCCGCAACGAGCGCAACCCUUAAGCUUAGUUGCCAUCAUUAAGUUGGGCACUCUAAGUUGACUGCCGGUGACAAACCGGAGGAAGGUGGGGAUGACGUCAAAUCAUCAUGCCCCUUAUGAUUUGGGCUACACACGUGCUACAAUGGACAAUACAAAGGGCAGCGAAACCGCGAGGUCAAGCAAAUCCCAUAAAGUUGUUCUCAGUUCGGAUUGUAGUCUGCAACUCGACUACAUGAAGCUGGAAUCGCUAGUAAUCGUAGAUCAGCAUGCUACGGUGAAUACGUUCCCGGGUCU